AACGUAUUCUGGACUCAAGGCGGAGGGGAAAUGGAUUUCAAUACUAGGUGGACUGGGAAGGUAACAGUCUGGAGGAGAGAAGUUGGGUGCCUGCAAGAGACAUAUUGGAUCACUCUCUUAUCGAUGAUUUCAAUCAACAGGUAACGGCCCAUGGAAAUGCCAGGAGGAGUUCCUAGGGGGAGGGGUACUGUCAUGGUUUGCAGUUUUGCCUUCUUCUCCUGGGUUCCAGUUGCUCGCUUCGGAGUGGAUCCUAUUCUGUCUCAGUGUUCCUCGUUGGAUUGUGUUCGGAGAAGUCCUCGUUGGAUUGUGUUCGGAGAUCUGCCCAUUGUAGUCCCUGUGCCGCCAAGGACCAGUUGCACCUUGACUUUCCUGACCUGUCAUUGUUACAUCGUUUUGUGCUUCCUAAUUAAGGAACAUUCACUUGCAAUUGAAUCUUGAGUUAUCGGUCCUCACAGUUAGCCCCGCCUGUCUCAGCACUCUGAGGACAUCCCUCAAAUACUCCAGAUGCCACUGCCAAUCCCUACUGUAGAUGAUAAUAUCAUCCAAGUAGGCAGCGGCAUAGGCAGCAUGUGGCCGCAGAACUCUAUCCAUGAGGCGCUGAAAUGUGGCCGGGGCCCCGAACAACCCGAAAGGAAGUGUCACAAAUUGGUGUAACCCAAACGGCAUGGUGAAGGCUGUUUUUUCUUUGGACAUGGGAGAUAAGGGGAUCUGACAAUAUCCUUUUGUUAAGUCCAAUGUUGAAUAAAAACGAGCCGUACCUAACCGAUCAAGCUGCUAGUCAAUGCGCGGCCAUAAAGAAGCUCGAAGGAGGAAAACCCUGUGGACCUCACGCAUGGCGAAUAAGAGGGGAUCUAGCCAUCCAUCCCAAUUUUUGAUCCGUGAGAAUCUCUUUUGGGAUUCCCACGCGGGAGAUUAAACGAAACAGGGCGUCCGCCACACUCUUAGCUGAUAUGUUGCAGAGUGCCACUGCUUCAGGAUAUCGUGUUGCGUAGUCUAUGAUAACCAAUGCAAAGCGAUGUCCCCGUGCCGACCGUUCUAAUGGCCCAAUGAGGUCCAUACCAAUUCAUUCGAAAGGGACCUGCACCAGAGGUAGAGGGCGCAAUGGCACUUUUGGGGCGGCCAGUGGGUUUACCAGCUGACAUUCCCAACACGACGAGCACCAUCUGCGCACGUUCUUGUAAAUGCCCGGCCAAAAGAAUCGGGUCAUUAGACGGUUUAAUGUCGCUGACAUCCCUAGAUGCCCUGCCAUCGGAUUACAAUCCGCCGUCUGGAAAAGCAUUUCCCGACGGCUCCGUGAUACUAACAAUUGGGUUGUAUCUUCCUUUGUCUGAGUGUCUUGGGUCACUCGAUACAACCUGUCUUUAAUAAUGGCAAAAUAAGGAUAGGAGAGCGCGGUCAGGUUGGAGGAUCUGCCCAUCGAUGGAACGGACCUGUUCAAACGCAUGUUUGAGCGUCUCGUCUUGGGACUGUUCCAGGGGAAAGUCAUCGCGACUGGAGAGGUUUAGCCUCGCCAAGCCGCUCGGUUCCUCUGAAACCGUCCCUCUGGGUCCCGGCACAGUCUCUCCAACCUGAGUGCUCACCCCCUUUCCCGCCGUCUCGUUUUCCCAGAGACAUCCGCUGUUAAACACCCCAAUAACUGUUCAAAAGCCAGCCAAUUGGUUCCCAAAAUUAGCGGAUGCCGGAGGCGCGGGCUAACCGCCACCUCCACACAAUGCUUUUGACCCCUAAAUUUGAUGGAUAUGGCUUUUACGGGGUAUUCCACUAUAUCCCCGUGCACACCCCUCACCUUAACCAUGCGGCCCAUAUCCAAUGUCCCAGAUUUUAUCUAGCUUUAAUGGAUGGAGGUCUGGUUACAACCUGAAUCCACCAAAGCCCGAUAAGUACCCCCCUUAAUACUCACAGGUAUCUGGUAUAACCCGGCUUGAUCGGGGGUGGCCUGCGGGUCGUCUGGGAUCCGGACCAACGUCCCCACCUCCAUGACUGGGCAUCGAUCCAGAGAGAGAGCGAGAGAGAGAAGCAAGCUCCAGAACAGCUCAUGGUCCUCCUGCUGGGCUUGCAUCAGGGCUUGGAACCGAUGGUCCUAGUCCGCCCGCAAGUCCAGCAGGGCUUGGUGGUUUUCUUGAUGUAGACCCGCGAGCGAUGUGAUGAUCUCCACAAAUGGCGAUCCCGAUGAUUCUGACGGAGUUUGCAUCAUGGCAGCGUCGUUCUCCUUCUACUCCCAGGUUUCGGCACCAGUGUAGUAUUUCCCUUGUUCGUCAGGUGAGAAGGAAGGAGACCGGGGUCAGCUGUCUGAGGCUCAUGGGUAUUUUUAUUUACAAAACGCAAAAUAAUCACGCCACAUGUGCACACACUUAGUCACUGUCUCACACUGUCUUGUCAAAAUUUCUCUGGCUUCUGGCUUCCUGGUCCCCACGAGUCCUCAGCUCUCUCUCCUCCUCGCCGGUUUCUGACUGGCUUAUAUACCGUCUCCCCGCGCCAACUACUGCAACGAGACCCAGGUGUUAGUAUUUUUAGUAUUUAUUUACAUCUACCUCAUACACAAUCGCUCUCCGUACACUCGGGCCAUUUUCAGGUAAAUUUUCACCAGCUAGACACUUUUCCAUCAGGCUGGAUCCAUCUGCAGCACCUGGCCUGGAUGCCUGUGUACUCACUUUCAGAUUCUGGGCUAAAUCAACCAGACAAGAUGUGACAUCCAAAACUUACAGACACUGUCUCAUCCAAGCCGGACUCACCAGACUUAGUCCAGUUUCAUUUCAGUAUCUACUGUACUGUUCAUUAAUAGUUCAUUUAAAAUUGAUAAGGUUACCAAGACAAAACCUUACUUUCAUUUUAAUUAUGUAGAUUAUAAUAACUUAUAAAUAAUAAGUAAAUAACUUGAAUCUAUAAACAUCUCAUUAUUAUAAAAGCAAUUUUAAAGUCCAUUAAAGAACUCGCUUGAUUAAGCUGGCAUGAGGAAAAUUUAUUUACAAAACCAUGUAAUUACAGCAAAAAGUCUAGAUAAGAUAUUUAACAUUUUGUAAAAGGUGUUUUGAAAAACACAUUGGUAAAUUAAUUUAAAUAAUUAUUACCCAACUAUUACAAUUAAUAAUUUUAUCAGUGAAUACUGUUCUUGGUUGUUGCUCUUUGUGCAGCAUGUCUUUCUGCAUCUAAGUCCAGUGAGUUCUUUGCUUGGGAGCUUUCAUUUCUGUACCUGUAAAGAUAAUGCAGAAGUAUCUAUUACUGAAGGUCUAACUGAAUGCACAAAACUGAAUGAAUAUACAGGUGCAUCUCAAUAAAUUAGAAUGUCGCGGAAAAGUUCAUUUAUUUCAGUAAUUCAACUCAAAUUGUGAAACUCGUGUAAAAAAUAAAUUCAGUGCACACAGACUGAAGUAGUUUAAGUCUUUGGUUCUUUUGAUUGUGAUGAUGAUUUGGGCUCACAUUUAACAAAAACCCACCAAUUCACUAUCUAAACAAAUUAGAAUAUGGUGACAUGCCAGUCAGCUAAUCAACUCAAAACACCUGUAAAGGGUUUCCUGAGCCUUCAAAAUGGUCUCUCAGUUUGGUUCCCUAGGCUACAUAAUCAUGGGGAAGACUGCUGAUCUGACAGUUGUCCAGAAGACAAUCAUUGACACCCUUCACAAGCCACAAACAUUCAUUGCCAAAGAAGCUGGCUGUUCACAGAGUGCUGUAUCCAACCAUGUUAGCAGAAAGUUGAGUGGAAGGAAAAAGUGUGCAAGAAAAAGAUGCACAACCA
ensembl:lncRNA